UACGUAGGGGGCAAGCGUUGUCCGGAUUUAUUGGGCGUAAAGAGCGUGUAGGCGGCUUGGCAAGUCCGCUGUGAAAACUCGAGGCUCAACCUCGAGACGUCGGUGGAAACUGCCUCGCUAGAGUCCGGAAGAGGAGAGUGGAAUUCCUGGUGUAGCGGUGAAAUGCGCAGAUAUCAGGAAGAACACCCGUGGCGAAGGCGGCUCUCUGGGACGGUACUGACGCUGAGACGCGAAAGCGCGGGGAGCGAACAGG
rnacentral:rRNA from 1 species